GUGGGCGUAGCUCAGUCUGGUUAGAGUGCUCGGAUGUGACCCGGGAGGUCGCGAGUUCGAUUCUCGCCGCUCACCCCA
rnacentral:tRNA from 1 species